rnacentral:lncRNA from 1 species
AUUAUAAGUAUGAGCUGGAAUGAAAAUCCUGAGUCAUUAAAUUAGGAGUAAGCUGGAAGAAUAAGAAGCAGGAGCUGUGAUUUAUUGGAGUAAUAGAGUAGCCGCCAAGAAAAAUAAAAUAAAAUAAACAAUAAUAAGGGCAGCUCGGUUUGGCUAAGGAGAAAAGCAGCAUGAAGGCAUAGCUGGAGUUGAACUAUAAGAAUAAAACUAAGUUAAUUCAAUCUCUCUUUCUCUUCCCUGCUCCUCCACUUGGUCUCCUUCUUGCUCAAUUUCCUGCCGAACAAGCCCAGUCCCUCUUUACCUUUCAGUUUUGCCGAAUCAAACUCAUCCCGUCUAUCCUCAGUUAGCUAGGUCCAGAUAAGUGAGUAGCAAGGUUUUAAUCAAGCUCUAGCAAAUCAAAGGAAGAGCAUACAAGGAAUUGCAAUAAAUAAGCAAGGUAACAACAAUUAAUGAUUUGUUAAUAUUACAGUGUAUGUAUAUGGUUAUCAGUUAGCAAUUAAAAUUGAUUGGGUUAAUUAUGUUAUGAGCUAUGGCCAAAUGAUUAGGCAACAAAAAUAAAGAUAUGACAGUAGGUAUAUCUUGAAUUGAGGUAAGAAACUAAAAGUUAAGCUCAUAUGGUUAUAUUUAUGCAAAACAGUUAGUUAUAAGGAAAUUCAAGUUAGUUUGGCAAAGACAGGUAAUUUAUGAAAUGGGUAAGUUAACUGACAUAAAUUGUGGUAUGUAGCAAUAAUGAUAUGUGAUAUAGCUAAUUAUUAUCAAAUGAAGUGGAGUAUACAAAGUUUACUUAAAGUUAGUAAACUAGUUAAUGCAAGUAUAUUCAUGUAUGGUCUUCGUUAAAAAUUGGAUCCUUGUGGACUGAAUAAGAGCCAUGGAGAUUAGCGUGGUUGUGCAGAGUAAUAAGGUGGGAAAAAUUGGGCUAGAACACAAACCAAGCUCUAUGAAAACUGAAUUUUAAAGCGACACACACUAUGUGUUCGCUAAAACUCCUCCAAGGACUGUUUUUGUUAAAAAAUGAAAACUAAGCGAAGCCAAGACCCGAGUUAUAUAUAUACAUAUUAUAUAUAAGUAAUUAGAAAGUUUUGGUGAAUCGAAUUAAGAGGAAACAUUUUUGAGACAAAACGAAAAGUUGAAAACUAGUUUGGCUACUGACCUUGAGGCCAAUUUCGGGACUAGUUAUAUUUCAAGAAAAAUUCUGGGUUUUUGGGGAAGUAUAGUACACUGAAUAAGGAAUUCAUAGCCUCUAGAAUGGACUAAUUCCGACCUCGGAGGAGAGAGUUAUGGCAUUCCAAAGUAAGCGUGUCGAAUCUGUCCAAAAUCUGGAAAUCAGAUUCUGACCAGCCCGUUGCACGAAUUUUCUGGAAUGUUGUGUUAUGAAUUUGAAAAUGGUCAAAGACUAAAAGUUGUAGUUCCGGAGGUUAGCUUCACGUGGGCGCAAGAAUCGCUCAAAAAUGUUUUGAAACGAAAAAAUUGUGACUGUUUUAGCGAAAGAGGGUAAAGCUGGAAAUGAAUUGUCCACUUUUGACGCACUGUUUGGGCUGCCUAAUGAACCCGAAUUGGGUAAUUCGUAUUUUUUUUAAAAAUAGUCUUACAUACCACGUAUAACAUAUUCAAAAAUGAGCGCGAUCCGACAUGCGAGCUAAAAAUGGAAAAAUUGCAAAGUAGCCGCGUCGCGGAGGGGGCUGCUGCCCACAGCAGCACACAGACAGCAGCAGCGCACAAUAGUAGUUGGCUGGGGGCUGUUUUGGCCUCUUGUUUAACGCGUCUAAAUUACCCAAAAUGUUCGGUUAGCAUUUUUUUAAAAUAGGUGGACAUACCACCUAUAGCAUAUCCAAAAUUGGUCGGGAUCGGACGAAUGAGACGGAAACUAAAAAUAUGCAAAGUGGACGUAAGAACAUGUUCGUUGGCGGCCUACGCCAAGGCCGGUCUGGCCAAGCCAAGGGCAGCCGAGCCCAGUCCGACGCCGCGAUGUGGUUUUCAUAACGAAACGCAAUAUUUGACGUCGUGGCACGUAUUUCAAGGUGGCGACACAGAUUUUGAAGUUUUUGACAGUUUCACGUAUUUUGAGGCAUCGAGGCAGAUAUAGAACGCAGUUUAAAACCUAAAUAACGUGUACAACCGUUUGAAGCAUACUAGACGCUAUAAAAGCAAUAUGUAAACAUAAGUUUACAUGUACAUGGGUAAUAUAUCCGUGAGAUGGGAUAUGUUGACGUUAAUGAAAGCUAUUCCAAAGUUAUACCUCGGAACUGAACGGUUUUCGAAAUACAAAGCGAUAAUUGUGUAAACGGAGUUGAAAAUUCAACGCUUGACAUUAAUAAGGUAUGUGUAGGUAUAAGACAUACAAAUAGCAUAUGUCUACCUACAAACCAAGCAAAUGAGGCAAUGUUUAACAUUAUAAGAGAAGCGUAUAUGCAAAAACAUAUAUGUACUUCAUGUGUACAUGAAAUGGGAAAAAGUAAUGUAAUAUGAACGCAUUAAGCCUAGAAAGCUAAUAUUCGUGUGAAAUAGUAUUUAAAUUACUCACGAAAGCGAAAAUAAGAUAGAAUUAUGCAAAGUAAAGGCACAAAUGCACUAUAUGACUAUAAGUCUACAUAUAGAUACGUGUAAAGUCUGUAAAUGCAUUAUAAAAGGGUUAUGAACUGUAAAUGUAAUGAAUUGACAUUUUAAAAGCCGUGUUGGAACUUUUUGAGAAUGUAUAGCUAUAAUAAGCCGAAACCUAAAAUAUUCUAAAGGAAUAUGAAAGUUUCUUGGAAAUAAGAAUAUCUGAUAUUGAUAUAGUUUAUGUGAAUAUUGUUAGCUAUACAGGUUAUGAGAUAUGAAUCUGUGACUAAUGUAUGUAUACAUGUGAACAUAAUUGUGUAGGAUUCGGGAAGCGAAGUUAAACUAAAGUUUGUAUCAAGGGUCAUUGAACGAGGCAAGUUUUUCAGUUCUAUUAUGUUUGUGGAUUAAAUGUGAUUAUGUGUUGAGUUACAUACCAUGCUUUAUGAAUUGUUAAAGUCAAAAUAUGACUAAGUUAAUUGGGUUAUGGAACUCAAUUUAUAUGUGAUAUGUGAUAGCACACGUUGUAUGAUGUAACUCGAUAAAUUAGAAAUGUAUAAUGCAUGAAUGUAUGCUUUGUAAGGAAUUAUUGAUGCAUGUAGGAUAUGCAUAGUAAUGAAUAUAUGUUGCAUGCGAAUAUGCAUAGUAAGGGAAAUAUUGUAGUGCAUAUGGAAUUGUGUGCUAUGUGAAACAUGAUAGACUGUUAAAUUUGUUGGGCUGUCAAGUUCAAUCUUGCAAACGCAAACUUUUUGCAGGUUAAUGAUGUUAAGCAAUAUUACUUGCUAUACGGAUGAUGAAGAUUGAACGAUGUGCAAAAUGAAUACAUUUCCUUGAAUUAGAAAUGGUAUAAAUUUAUGAUUGAUAGUUUUGUCAAAUGUAAAUGGGCAGUUAUGUAUAGUUUGAAAUGUUGAAUGGAUAAAUAAUGUUUAUUCUGAAAUGAGAAUAAAUAUGAUUCUAGUAUAAAGAAGAAUUGUAAAGGUUGCGAUUCAGGGAAUGAAUGAAUGAAAAUAAAGAAGAAAACAAAAAUUAUUCCGCAUUUUUAGCUAUUUUAACAUUAAAUAAUGUUUUAAAGCUAUAACAAGGUAGUAUUAACGCACAAGAUCGGGAAGGGAAAUGGUCCCGAUUUUGGGGUCGUUACAACAUAUUUCAUGGAAACUGUAAACUCCUUGACCAGAUUUGUACUACAUGUUGCCUUAUACCAAAAAAUAAAAUAAAAUAAGGUUCAAUGCUUUUGUCUGUUUUUUCAAUGAGUGUGUGAGCAAUACAAUAAUAUAAAUAAAACUUUAUUUCAUAAAAUGAAUGCGUAAAAUACAAUGUUCGACUAGAUAUCCUUCUGAAUACAAAGGAAUAAAGCGGGAAUUGAAUAAACCAAUAAAAAAAUAAAUAAUAUGGAGUGUCAAUAUGACUUCCCUUAUUUGUUAGAAUAAUCUAGUCAUACUCUUGUAAAAAUGAUGGGCAUAGUGUGUUUUGUUUGUAUAAGAACUUGUUUAUAUACGGAUUUUAGGCACAAGAAGCAAGUGCUGGAUUCGUGGAAUUGUUAAUCCAGAUUUCUCAGUCAUAUCUAAGUCACCAAUUGAAAUCCCACUCGGUAGCUCCCAAUCAAAGCAAUGCAACAACUGAGCCA